AUGUGCUCCUCAGGUGGAUCUGGGAGUUUGGAAUCCAUUCCUAAAUCUCCAGUUCUUCAGAAGAUUGGAGCUACUUUGACUCUGUCCUGUAAGGUGUCUGGAUAUUCACUGACUGACAGCAGCUACUGCUCUCACUGGAUACGACAGACUGCAGGAAAACCUCUGGAAUGGAUUGGAUGGAUUUGUGAAAGAAAUAGCCUGCCCAUACAUCAACCGCUGAGCGAGACACUCUUACAUCAACAAUGGCUGCGCUUUGGGACUCCGCUGGAGCUUGUUACUCUUGCGAUACUAAUCCUAAUUCAAACCAUGUUGUACUCAUAUCUGUUUUUGCUGCUGUCAGCAGUGAUGUCUUGUGUUCACUGUGUUGAACUGACUCAGCCUGCAUCCAGUGUUGUCAGGCCUGGUGAGACUUUGACUCUGUCCUGUAAGGUGUCUUGAUAUUCACUGACUGACAGCAGCUACUGCACUAACUGGAUACGACAGACUGCAGGAAAACCUCUGGAAUGGAUUGGGUGGAUCUAUACUGGUGGAAGCACAGACUACAAGGACUCCUUUAAAUCCAAGUUCAGCAUCACCAGAGACACCUCUAAUAAUAUAGUGACAUUGAAUGGAAAUAAUAUACAAGCUCAAGACACAGCUGUGUAUUAUUGUGCCAGACACCACAGUGACAGACUCUGA